GAAUAGAUUCAUUCAUGGCCAAGUGCACAUGAACAAAAGUAUUACAAGCCCUGCAGAAAGCUCCUAAAAUGAAAAGAGAGGCAGUACAAAGGCUUAACUUGUCCCAAAGCUCCAAACAGUCAACCAAAGAGCUGAUGUCUCUUGGAAGGUUUGCCAGGGAGCGUAGGCCCCAUGGCAGCAAUGAAGACCUGAAUGCAGAUUCUACUGCUGCUCCGCUUCAAGACUCUCAAGUGCUGUUCACAGAAACAGGUGUGUACAUGUUAGAGGGUCUCAUCAGAGAUCAUCAGAGAUAAACCUGGCUACCUCACAGCUAACAAAGGUUCUUAAUCUUUCAGUAACAGUAUAUUCAGGCAAUGGUAAUGGCCCUUGAAAUUCACUGGACAAUUUCUA
rnacentral:lncRNA from 1 species